rnacentral:rRNA from 1 species
GACGAACGCUGGCGGCGUGCUUAACACAUGCAAGUCGAACGGAAAGGCCCUGCUUUUGUGGGGUGCUCGAGUGGCGAACGGGUGAGUAACACGUGAGUAACCUACCCUUGACUUUGGGAUAACUUCAGGAAACUGGGGCUAAUACCGGAUAGGAGCUCCUGCUGCAUGGUGGGGGUUGGAAAGUUUCGGCGGUUGGGGAUGGACUCGCGGCUUAUCAGCUUGUUGGUGGGGUAGUGGCUUACCCAGGCUUUGACGGGUAGCCGGCCAGAGAGGGUGACCGGCCACGAUGGGACUGAGAAACGGCCCAGACUCCUACGGGAGGCAGCAGUGGGGAAGAUUGCACAAUGGGCGGAAGCCUGAUGCAGCAACGCCGCGUGCGGGAUGACGGCCUUCGGGUUGUAAACCGCUUUCGCCUGUGACGAAGCGUGAGUGACGGUAAUGGGUAAAGAAGCACCGGCUAACUACGUG